AAAAACACAAUGAAAAGAAAAGUACAGAUAAUCAAUAUAUGACAGAAAACCUCGGUAGCUGAGAAGAGGGGAUAGCGAUUGUUUGGAAAAUGAUCUUUGAGUGGCUUUGUCGACCGUUUAGCUAGCUAAACCUGAGACAUUGACGGGCGUUCCCGUUACAGAAACAGGGUAUUAUAAUUGUACCUGGUGAGGUGCUUGCUGUGAGGCGGCACAAAAUAAGGUGGUAACACGUAAAGACUAACUAUAAUCUUUUCGUCCUUAAC
rnacentral:ncRNA from 1 species